rnacentral:rRNA from 1 species
UGACCUCAGAUCACGCGAGAACCCGCGCUGCACUU